AGGCAAACCCGAGCUCCUCCUU
rnacentral:miRNA from 1 species